rnacentral:rRNA from 1 species
GACGUAGGGCGCGAGCGUUGUCCGGAUUUAUUGGGCGUAAAGAGCUCGUAGGCGGCUUGUCGCGUCGACUGUGAAAAACCCGCGGCUCAACUGUGGGCUUGCAGUCGAUACGGGCAGGCUGGAGUUCGGUAGGGGGAGACUGGAAUUCCUGGUGUAGCGGUGAAAAUGCGCAGAUAUCAGGAGGAACACCGGUGGCGAAGGCGGGGUCUCUGGGGCCGAUAC